AUUAGCACAACAGAGAUGUGGUCUGAGUAUCCGAGGUGGGGGCAGGGCUCUGCCCAGUACGCGUCGGGAAUGUUUGUGUUAACUAGGUGUACUCACUAGUGUUUAGAAUGAGAUGAGAAGGGAUUUCUUUAGCCAGAAGAGGUAAAUCUGUGUAAUUAAUUGCAACAGAUGGCUGUGGAGGCCAAGUCAAUAGGUAUAUUUAAAGAGGAGGUUGAUGGAUCCUUGAUAAAUGAGGGAGUCAAAACUUAUGGGGUAAAUGCAGAAGGAUGGGGCUGUUUCACCCUAUCUGCAUGGUGUACCGUUCACUCUGCAUUAUAUAAUUGCAUAGUUUUUAAAUUCAAAGUACAAAAUUAUGAGGGCUAUAGAUAGAGUAAAUGCAAACAGACUCUUUGCACUGAGGUUGGGUGAGAUUGGAACUAGAAGUUGCAGGUGAACCUUUUACAUUUUGGGUUAGUUUGAAUCGAAUGACACUUUUUGUGGAGCAUUUGCUCCAAGUCUUUCUGAAACAUUCUCACCAGAGGGAAUCCAGUGGGUCAAGCAGAGGGAAUCCAGUGGGUCAAUCCAGUGGGUCAACUAGGGAAGUGGACGGGAAUUAUGGAUGUUUCAUUUGGAGUCUGCAUCAGAACUGGGAGUACAUGGCGGGUGGAGGUGGAAAUUAAGUCAAAGUUGUGUUUGCACCCAUUCAUACAUGUACUUGUGCAUGUGACCAUGACAACUGGCAAGUAGCAUUGGAUACACAAAUUCACAAGAAAGACAUGAAGUUUACAUGAACAACACACAAAAUGCUGGAGGAGCUCAGCAGUUCACGCAGCAUCAAUGGAGGGGAAUAAACAGUCUACAUUUCAGACUGAGACCCUUUAUCGGGGCUGGAAAGGAAAGGCACCAACAUCACGGGCCCACUUCACUCAAAUUGUCAUCUUGUGAUACUGUAGAAUUUCUAUAAUGCAAAUGUAUGGUUGUUUAAAUGUCCAAAUGGAUUUAUUUCCUGACCAGCGUAUGUACAUGGAUUGGCCUGUAUGCAUCAACAAUUACUGACCAUACUGUUUAAACAAACUCUUCCAGACGCAAUAAUUUUCCUGAAUCCUAUUGUCCUCUUUUCUGAAAAGACUUCUGCUUUUAUUCCUUUAAAGAAUCGUGUGCCUGUGAGCUGGAGAUUGAAGCAAUGAACUUCAAAGUAUAAAUUGUGGCAAGACUGACAUGCAGGGAAAUGACGGUGUCACUUGAAAAGAGAAAUCUGGCUCUUCUAAGGUGGCUUGGUGCUCCCAAGCCUCCUGGAACCUAGAAAGGACCAAAAAAAAAAUUGUGCUCAUGAAAAGCUAAAACAAAUUUUAAUUGGUAUAAACAAGAGAAAAUCUGCAAAUACUGCAAAUUCAAGCAACACGCUCAACAUGCUGGGGGAGCUCAAGCAUCCAGGCAGCAUCUAUGGAAAAUAGUACAGUACCGUUCCAGGCCAAAACCCUUUGGCAGGACUGGAGAAAAAUGCUGAGGAGUGGAUUUAAAAGGUCGUGGGAAGGGAGAGAGAAACACCAGGUGGUACUGCCUUGGAGUGUUUCCAAUGUGCCAUCAGUCAAUCUCUGUGUUCGAAGGAAACCUGCAAAAGUAAUCAGCUGUGUUACUCUGCAAAUAUUAGUGCAGGUACAGUAACUACCUUCGUCUCUGGAUGCGUAGACAAGGAACUGUGUGGGAAAACAAUCACUAACACAUAUGCUGGUGUAGAGUUAAAAUUACAGCCCAAAUGUUGUGAUUUCAAUAACUGCAACGGUGCCACGGCCGCUCAACUAUCCGUACUGGCUAUCUCCAUCAUGGUUCUUGUCUGGUUUGUGGGAUUCCAAUAGAGCAGUGUAACUCCUUCAAAAGACUCAUAUUCCUUCAUUUUACAUUCAGCUGUCCAUAAUAACAGCAGUAUUUGCAUAAAGUUUAUCUGUUCUUUGUGGUUUUUGUUUGCUGUUUUUAUUUUAAAUGGGGCAGAUUGGUACUUAUUCAAGGGUGCUGGAUUAGGUGUUAAGGGGGUGGCAUUGCCCAUUACUAGUUCCCUUACCUUGAAGUUUUGAAAAAAAAAGAGAGGAGGUUCCUGUUUAUUCCAGUAACAAGUUGCAAUUUACAAUCGUCAGAUCAAAAGAUUAUUGUCUUUACACUGAAGAGAUCUGUGUUCAGAAGCCCUCACUCUGGCUCAGAGUAAAUGAAGCUUUUAACCCUUUGUGAUGAUUAUUCAGUUAAUCCUGGCCUGCUGUGAUGAAUUUUCAUUUGCUUUCAAUCAUUUAUACUUUUUAAUAUUCACUCACUCAAUGUUUACGAUUUUCUCUAAAAUGAGAUUUCUAAUGUGCCUCUGUCAAAUCCAUGGUAUAAUUGUCUACAGUUCUACAUUUCUAUGAUGCUGAAUAACUGAUCUGAAUAUGUAAUAGCCAUGGGUACUUGCAGACUGCUUUAAAAGAAUGUGUCGAUUAUUGGGAAUGAAGUGAACGCUGACUGAGGUUUUCAUGAUAACAGUAUAAAUUGCAAUGAUUUGUGUAAAUUUAUAAAUGAUCAAUAAAACAUUUUCAACCUAA